rnacentral:lncRNA from 1 species
AGAAUGUGUCUCAAGACUCGAGUAUAUCACUUCAGUUCCUUCAAUGGCCGCAACUGUUAUGCAGGGAUCAAAUCAAAUAUCAAGGGAUUCUGUAGUUCAGUCACUGAAAGAGUUGUCGGGGAAGCCUGCUGAACAAGUGUUUGUAAACAGUGUAAAACUACCAAGUGAUUCUAUUGUUGAAUUCUUCGAUGGUCUAUGUACUAUUUCUGCUGAAGAACUUAAACAGACACCUCCUCGUGUCUUCAGCUUGCAAAAGCUUGUUGAAAUAAGCUACUACAAUAUGGCACGGAUACGUUUGGUAUGCUUUUGUCUAUCAUUGUUUGCAUUAUGCUUCCUAUUGUUCUCUUAGCAAUUCUUGUGUUAUUUCAUGAGACUUAAUUUUCAGUGACAUAGUGAAGAGAUAAAUAAGUAGGUCGAAAUUGCUUACUUUCUUACUAUUAUAUGCCAUUGUAGAGGAUGCUUCAUUGAAUCAGGCAAUAUCUUCAUUCUGUGAGAAAGAUUUUUUAUUUUUUAUUCAAAGAAGAACUAACAUAAUUUUAUAUUAUGUUAGAAAGGCCUGCUUAUUUUUCAUUGAGAGCAUUAUGGGGGCAGGGGAGAGUUGAGACUGGUUUAUUCAGAAUUGUUUUUGUUUAGCCAUUGGCCAUUGGCCAUUCAGUUUAUGCCCAUGUAAACUAUAGAAUGACCCUAAUUUCUAAAUAUAUGAAGUUGUGGAUAUGCACCUAAUUGGUGAGCGUCCUUGAAUUUUACUCAACUGAGAGCCUGAACACCUAAUUUUUCAAGUUCUUCUGGAUGAAGGGAUGCACCCCUACCUGAUUUUUUUAAGAAAUAUGCUGUUUUACUGAAAUAUACAAUCGAACUGGGUACAAUCUACUGGAAUCUCUAGGGCGUGCUGAAAUCACAAUUUACUAUAUAAUUGGAGGUGAUUACCGGGUACCACUGCAAACAGGUUCAGUAGGGUUUAUUUACCAUUCUGUUUAGGGUCGCCGUGUUCAGCCAAUUGUCAGAUGGCCAUCUUUCCCUUCAAGAAAAAAUAGGAAAAUAAAAAGAAAAUCACUGUGCUGAGGAAUUUUAUCAAUAACUUGAUGGAGAUGGGCCUGCGAUUGUGUGCGGAGUGAGCAGAUACAGCAGCAUAUGCAGCCACCUCAGGUACAGUCUUGGAGGGUUGGUUUCUGGCUCGGCAGGAGAUAGGGGGCCACACCUGGGUUCAGCCCUUUCUGUGGUAUACCACAUGUGCACUGGGAAUGAUGUGCAGCAGUGGAGCGAGCACAUGUGAAUGGUCUGCGUAGGGGGGAUGGCGUCCCAAUUAAGUGGGGGAGAAAAAGUAAACUUCAUAGAAAAUGCGUGGGGAAAGUUUGGGCCUUUCUCAAAUAUAUGUUUGGCAAGUGGUAGAAAACGCCAUAGCUUAUGUGAAGCAGCACAAAGUUGUGGAUGAGCAACUUCACCUUGCUGCUACAAUGUGUGCAGCACAAGUGUUGAAGGAACAACUUCAACGUGCUGCGCUAGAUAUUGCUCUAGAGGCGAAUAUAGGCCGAUAGGGCAGCAGGAGUUCAAUCCAAAACUCAUAGAACGCUAGAUCUAGUCCAAGAUCUUAGAUAAGAACACCAAGUUCUAUUAUAGGCAGUGGGGGUACAUAGUCUCCCUACAAACUAGAGGUGAGGACCUCUAUUUAUAGGGCUUUGGGAAGCCUACACAUACUUCUACUUAUGGCUA